rnacentral:rRNA from 1 species
UGGGGAAUUUUGGACAAUGGGCGCAAGCCUGAUCCAGCCAUGCCGCGUGCGGGAAGAAGGCCUUCGGGUUGUAAACCGCUUUUGUCAGGGAAGAAAUCUUCUGAGUUAAUACCUCGGGAGGAUGACGGUACCUGAAGAAUAAGCACCGGCUAACUACGUGCCAGCAGCCGCGGUAAUACGUAGGGUGCAAGCGUUAAUCGGAAUUACUGGGCGUAAAGCGUGCGCAGGCGGUUUUGUAAGACAGAGGUGAAAUCCCCGGGCUCAACCUGGGAACUGCCUUUGUGACUGCAAGGCUUGAGUGUGGCAGAGGGGGGAUGGAAUUCCGCGUGUAGCAGUGAAAUGCGUAGAUAUGCGGAGGAACACCGAUGGCGAAGGCAAUCCCCUGGGCCUGCACUAACGCUCAUGCACGAAAGCGUGGGGAGCAAAACAGGAUUAGAUACCCUGGUAGUCCACGCCCUAAAACGAUGUCAAACUGGUUGUUGGGAAGGUUCCUUCUCAGUAACGUAGCUAACGCGUGAAGUUGACCGCCUGGGGGAGUACGGCCGCAA